GUGGGUACAGUUCAGUGGUAGAGUGUGUGCUUAGCAUGCAGGAAGUCCUGGGUGCACAAGGUCCUGGGUUCAAUCCCCAGUAUCUCCA
rnacentral:tRNA from 1 species